GGCUUCGUAGCUGAGCUGGUAAAGAGUGCUUGUACAAUGCGUAGGCGGCGUCCAUGCAUGGGUUCGAAUCCCACCGAGGCUA
rnacentral:tRNA from 1 species